rnacentral:lncRNA from 1 species
UGGAGCUAUAUAAAGGCCACGAGGCUGGCUCCUUAUUCAUCUGACCUGGGCUCUGGGGUGAAGGACCUUUCAACGCAUCUUCAGCCAGCACUGGCUCUGCGUGUGGGCGGGAGCUCCCCAGCCACCGCCAGGCCUUUGUGGUGUGACCCGGCCACAGGGCCUUGGCCUUGGCGCUGGCAGCAUUUGGGCCAGCUCCUCUGUUCCUGUGGCUGUAGCCGGAGGGUGGGGUGUCCUGUGCAUUGCAGGAUGUUGUUGAGUGGUGCCCUCAGCCCCCCUGCCCAACCCCUGACACCAAAAAUGUCCCAGACAUUGGCAGCUGUCCCCAGGGGAGUGGUCCCAGUCUGAGGCCCACCAACCUAGAGAGUGAUGUCUGGGUGGGACAGCUGGUUCCCGAGGCAGGGCGGGCAUCUUCUGGCCAGGGCCUUGGGGAGGGAGGGGAGUUGGAACCAGGAUGGGGCUGGCCGCUCCCCUCAGUAAACCUCCCCCCUCCCCUGCAGAGUAAGUCGGGUCAGAGUCCGGCUUUACUGAGGGUUUGAGGCUGGCUGCUUCGGUGCAGGGGUGCUGAAUGAAAUGGGUCCUCUCAAACUCUGCUCCACACUCGAGCCACGGCUGCCUAGGGUGAGCAGUCAGGGCUUCCUACCCACUCGUAGUAAAAGGUGACUGGUGGUGGUUCAGUCCUAAACUGUGCCACUGGGUAGCGCCAGUGUCACUGCCAGGCCCUACAUGGUCAUCCUGAUCACAAGGCCUCCAAGAACUCACUGGGAUCACCUGUCAUCUCCCUGCGCAGGGCUAUGGUGGGCACCCAGCAACCUUCCAGGCCCUGUAACUGCUCACCUUGGUGACACCCAGAAGCUUGGCUCUUCACAGCCCAGGCCAGAGGGACCUUUGCUAAAGUCACUGUGUGCAUUUUCAGAUGACAGCCACUCUUGGGAUGGGACCCCUCUCCUCCCUGGAACUCUCCACAGGUCUCUGGCCAAUAACCAUCUGUCAGGUGACCAGGUCCUCUGGCCACCAUGCAGGCCCUCUCCCCUCUGUCAAGACCAGGACUUCCCACCCAGCCCCUGACGGUGUGCGGCUGCCUGUCUGUCUGGAGGGGCUCCAGCUCCCGGCAGCUGUCCCUGGAUGCCAUGAAGGUGCCUCUGGACAUUGCCAGGUGUCCUCGGAGAACCGAGACAGCAAGAAGCUCCUAGCCCUGGGUGAUGAGAAAAAUGGGAGAGAAUCUCAGGGUUGCUGCCAGUGGAGCAUGGAGCAGUUGUGUUUUUCCAGGAAAAGCCAAGCAGAAAAGGCUAAGUUGGCUUUUUUCUCCUGGGUGACUUUGGACAGGGGAACAGGAGCCUGA